UACAGAGGAGCCAAGCGUUGUCCGGAUUGACUGGGCGUAAAGCGCACGCAGGCGGAUGCGCGCGUGGGGUGUGAAAUCUGGCCGCUUAACGGCCAGGCGCCAUCCCAUACGGCGCGUCUGGAGUGAUGCAGGAGGUCGAUGGAAUUGCCGGUGUAGUGGUGAAAUGCGUAGAGAUCGGCAGGAACACCCAGGGGGAAACAGUCGACUGGGCCAUCGUACUGACGCUGAGGUGCGAGAGCGUGGGGAGCGGAACCGGAUAGAAAGCCCCAGUA
rnacentral:rRNA from 1 species